CGAUGUCAUUUUGGUUCGUAAUG
rnacentral:miRNA from 12 species